CUAGCUGUCUUUCACCGGCUUGCGGGCGCACGAUGAGCCGUUUCAGAUGAAGAGCAGAACGGAUUAAGGAAGCCUUCGGCUGAGAGCUACCCGGAGCUGGGCUGUUAUCUGUUGGACAGGAUGGACAUCACCAUGGCAUGUCAAGGAUAUAGUGAAUCACUUCUGUCAUGUUGCAGAGAAGUGAUAACUCAUCUGAGGUCAAAGGACCUAUGGACCUCCAUCAUGUUGCCAUGAUGCAUGAUUGUCUUGCAAUCAGUUGGACAAAGACCUGGACUGUGAGAGGGACCAGGACUCACUACACCCUCACUAACACUGUGACAAACAGAUGGGGGGCUAAAGAUUUCUCAGUACCUGAAUGUCAGGCUGGACAUCACCAUGGCAUGCCAAGGACGUAGUGAACCACUUUUGUCAUGUUGCAGAGAAGACCUUUGGACCUACAUCAUGCUGCAGACAAGUAUGAUUGUCUUGCAGUCAUCGGGACUAAAGACUCAGACAGAGAGGGACCAGGACUCACGACACCCUCACUAACACUGUGACCAACAAACAGGGGCAAAAAUGUCCCUAAGUACCUGAACUUGGGGGUUGACAUCACAAUUGCAUGUGAAGGACCUACAGCAGUGAACCACUUAUGUCAUUUUGCAGAGACGUGAUGUUCUAUCUCGUUCCAAGAGUUAAGACCAGUGACCCAGAGAGGGAGAAAGCCCUUUUAAACCUUUUAAACCCAACUCCACUCCUAAUGCUCCUGAUUCAUUGUGCCUUAUUGCCGAUAUCCUCAACCAAUGAGUGCUUGUUACAGGCCAAAGUUAAUCUGUUCAUUAUCUGUGAGGUCACUUUAAUUUAUUCUCUAGUCCUUGUGGCUUUUCUUCUAUAAGAAACUUGAGUCAGGUUGUCAGAAAAAUAAAUUCUUUGGCAAUUAUGCUAUGAGGCUAAUGAUAUUAGAAUGGGUUACCACCACACAGUAAUGGUGGCUUUUCAACUUCUUAUUUCUUUUGUUCUGUGUUGAAGAUUUCA